rnacentral:rRNA from 1 species
AACGAACGCUGGCGGCACGCCUAACACAUGCAAGUCGAACGAGACCUUCGGGUCUAGUGGCGCACGGGUGCGUAACGCGUGGGAACCUGCCCUUAGGUUCGGAAUAACUCCCCGAAAGGGGUGCUAAUACCGGAUAAUGUCUUCGGACCAAAGAUUUAUCGCCUUUGGAUGGGCCCGCGUUGGAUUAGCUAGUUGGUAGGGUAAAAGCCUACCAAGGCGACGAUCCAUAGCUGGUCUGAGAGGAUGAUCAGCCACACUGGGACUGGGACACGGCCCAGACUCCUACGGGAGGCAGCAGUGGGGAAUAUUGGACAAUGGGCGAAAGCCUGAUCCAGCAAUGCCGCGUGAGUGAUGAAGGCCUUAGGGUUGUAAAGCUCUUUUACCCGGGAUGAUAAUGACAGUACCGGGAGAAUAAGCUCCGGCUAACUCCGUG